UCUUAUUCUCUUGUCUACUACAUUUAUCAGCAAGUAUUUAAAAAAAAAAAAAGAGAAAAAAACCCCUUGCUAGUAUAACAGAGAAACAUAAAACACAUUCAGAUGGAGAGCUCAUUAGAAAUGUUUUCCCCUCUUUUGUCAGUAGUCGGCUGUGUUGUGCUUAAUCUCUCUGCAAGGAAGUUGAAUCUUAUAAAUACAAGAAAAUGUCAUCUCAUGAAGUGCCUGGAUACUACUGAGAUGGGUGCUACUCACAACCCUAAGUCAGAUAGAGGUGGUGAUUCCGAAGGUGGCUGGUCUUGGGGUCCCAUUGCGAUGAGUUGGUUUUGGCUAACAUCAUGGGCAGCGUGACCGGUCGCAACCACCGCAUAAGCUGCUGCCUGCUUUUAUCUCAUGGGAGGCAGAGGGGGAAGUUACUUUCCUGUUUGCACAGCAUUGUCCUCGCCACCCCCAGCAACAGACGGGGCCAAGGACUAUAAAAUGCAGAUGUGUAGCUUCGUGGCUCUUGCAGCCUGGGUUCAAGCCUAUCUCCUUUAAAGCUGAUGCCACUGAAGUCAGGGAGAGUAUUUCCAUUGGUGUAGGAUCAAGCCACCCGUAAUCCCCACACCCUUUCCCCUCCCCUAUCCACUACCCAAGCACGUAGGCAGGUGCGAACUUUGAGAGUGAAACUACUUGUGAAGGAAUAGGUUGGCCUCUUGCAUGGCUGAGAAGUGACGUUUCUGGAAUAGGCCGUGUUUCAAACAUACACUUCACUCUGAAGCAAUAAAUAGUGCAAGCUUUCAAAUCACA